CCUGAGCUGAGUCCGGUUAGCAAGUUCUGAUCUGAAUAUUUGCUAUUAAUACACAAUUCUGUUGUGUUGUUUUUUUUGCUUGAAAUGUCUCUGAUAUUAAGGUCAUUUGGGGACAUAAUUGAUGUAUGAUUUUUCUUUUUUAUGUGUUCCUUAAGUAGUAUCUUCAAAUGAAAUAUUCCCCUCUUGAGUGAGUCUUCCCAAAAGACUGCCCACAAUAAAGCAGACACACUGAAGCACCUUUUCCGCUGCAGUUCCUACCAUUGCCAGCAGAUGGCUCUGCCUUCAAAACGGAAAUGGUCUUUAGCGGCACUUUCUACUUCCUUGACAAUUUUAAUUGGAUAUACGAAAUGCUAUCUUGUGUUUUAAAGGAAAUAUUCACUUUGAAAAUGAUGGUUAAAGCCUUAUUUUUUUUUAUAAUUUGCUAUUUGACAGGCCUUGCUCUGGUUGUCAGGGUCAAUCCGGUGGAACCAGAGAUCCAGAGGAGAAGACGCCGAGCAGAACCAGCUGAUUCUACACACUUGAAGAAUGUUCUGUAUUGUCCAUCUAGACCCUGGAGCAGACGCGCUGCAGCUUCGGUGGACUGAAUCACAGCUGUCCAGCAGACGCCGUCACUCCUGUGCUCGGCUGGCAGGCGGUGCACACCCCAGCCGGAUGGACGGAAUGAUUUCUGACAUCACAACUAGCCCAAAAUCCAUAAGCGGGCCUGUUUCCUCUGUGGUCAUCUCGGUGCAGAGGCUCAUUCUCACUGCUGAUUAUCAGCCAACGCCGCGGCGGCGGGGUCGAGCUCAGGUUAAUUGCACGCUUCAAGGCGAGGUCUUAUGCAAUAAUUAUGUUUAUUUCUAGCUUGUAUACAAAAAGAAUAAAACAUCUAUGAAUUGUUGUGCGACUGAGUUUCACAGAUGGCCAAGACGGUUUAAAAUGAAGCAUCUCUGAGCUUGAUUUGGUUGUAAUUACUGACAGCGGGUGUUUUGAACCAUUCUGAUAAGUCGAGGGGAAACUCCACACACAAACACAAAUAAGCCAGUAUAUUUGGGGCAAAACCCAUCUGGGCCAACACUGAAGCAGAACAAAUUAUGCAAACGAAGCUAUAAAAGAUUCAUUUAAGUUGAGCAGCAAAUAGAAAUGAGUCAUUUGUACCUGGCACAAAUGCAAAAGUGUGUCUGCAUUUUAAAGAACUCAAAAUACUGCAGGGUGACAAUGAAACCCUCACUUCUGAACACUUUAGCAUAGCUGAACCUCCGGAAUCACACUUAUUACAAAAUAUGAGAACAUGCCGUGACGUUCCAGAGGUUUAAACCAAGAAAAAGACCAAAUGUUUGAAAUAAAAUCAUGUUUUUAGGAAUAUUUGCUCUUUUUUAACUAAAAAAAAGGUUUAGGGUUCAAUUCGAAAGUCGUCCCUAUAAACAAACGAUUGAAAAAUGUUACACAUAUUUAAAAACUGCAUCUAAUUUGUUUAUGAGGAGUUUGAAUGAUCAUAAAAACAAAAUAUAAGGUGCUUAAAACUUUGCUGCUUUCUAAAAAAAGAAAGUGCUAAAUUGAAAAUUGAAAAAUGUUUCAAUUUUAAAUAUGCAACUUUAAUCUAAAGAUUUUUUUUUAAUCUGAAAUGGAAUUUUUGAUACAGAACUGCUUUUAGUUUUACUGAAUAGAAUUUUUGGUUUUAUGAAUGUUAUUUCCAUUCAUAAUUAUACAAUUCUUUUGAAAUUAAGAAAACUGUUUUGUAUGUAAGAGUUAAAAUUUAAAUCAGAAAUUAUUAUAGUGAAUCAGAAAAUCAUGUAAAAAUAAACAAAGAAAAACCUUCAUAAAUCUGAAUAUAGUGGAUAAAAAAGCUGGGGAUGAUCAUUGACAAAAUAAAAACUGAAAUGAAGUUUUUAUUCUCUUACAUAAUAAGUCAUGUCAGUGGACAGACAAAUUCAGGAUUUCUUGUUUUUUAAGGAAGUAGUCUGACACUUCCAGCAGUUUGGUUUAAGUUGUUUUUAUUAUUUUUUGUAAACAUAUUUUUGUUGAAGAUGUAAAUAAAGGAAAAUAAAUCAAAAAAUCAUCACAAAAUUAAAUAUUAUUUCAUGCUUUCAUGUUUUAUAGCUUUAGAAAAGUUUAAAGAUGCAGCUGGAUAAAACUUUGUCUAUGAUGCUGUGGCCAGCAGAGGGCGCAGUGGAUCACAUCCUGUUUGGUGUUUUGUUUAUUUUUCAUAAUAAACAAAGUUAAAUUCCUGUUAUAAGUAUUAGAUAUCACUGAAGGGUUUAGUUCUAUUUUGUCAUAAAAGUUGUCGGGAAGACGUUUCUGUACCCUUUUUGUGCCAUCUGACUUUCCAUCCAAUCAAGGCUGCUAGCAAUGCUAAGAUAAAUGUUUGGCUAAGGUUUUAGCUUUUUAGGUUGCUACUUAGCGCGUAUGCUAUAAUUCAAAUGAAUGCCACAUAAAUUCUUUAUUUUACGUGUUUUGCUUGUCAUUUGUGCCAGAAGUGCACUGUUAUACACAUUUUUAACGUAAUAUUUUUGAGCUAAAUGUUAACAUUAGCAUGCUAAUCAGUCAUGUGACCACCUCAUCCUGCUGCUGCUAAAGCCUCCAAGAUCUCCUGGUAAAUGUAAACAUUAACUUCUUGGACUGAUUUUAUGAAUUUUGUUUUUUUAUUUUCUACUCUUAUCUAUUGAUGCAAAUAUUCAUCAGACCACCUUUGCUCCAUUACUUUAAUUUAAGCAUCUACAUAAAAACAAAAAAUAAAUAAUUUUUUUACAGAACCGGUGGAUAAAGCUCCAUUUUUAUGGCUCAGAUGUGUAUUAAUUUAAUGGAGCAUCUCACUGUCAUCGUGAUUUAAGAUAAUAAAUGAUAUUUCUGUACUUUUUAAUCAGAUUUUGCUAAGGAAAGCAAAUGACGGACUGGACGCCAUGUUGUUUCUGAUCACAUCUGCUGGAACAACUUUUUAUGGUGAAGAUCAUCGCAGCACCUCUUCAGCCAACAGAGAGGGAUGCACAGAUUUAUGCGUCGGAGAAGACGUGGGAAACGAUAGCAGCAGAGGAGCGGCCGUGGUGAAAGCGAUCCGAGAAGAGGCAGGAGAUGGUCCGGAAAUGAAGUUAUGAUUGAUGAUUCCUGGACAAUUUCACAGCCCUCGACUUCCAGCAGAGAGCAGGAACUGGUAAGUCCACUCCUCGCUGAACGGAAACUCCAAAGGAGAAGUGGUCUGAAUUUGUUUCAUGGUGCAUGAAUGACUUGUGACUCACUGAAAAUAUGAUCAAACAUCACUCAAACCAUUUCCAGUUUGUGCAUUUUUAAAACGAGGAUGCCAAUAAUCUUAUCUUUCAAAUAUGGAGGCUCCCUUCUGCGAAAUGAGUUUGUUUUAUUGCUGUGAGAUCUAUGAUGAGUAACAACAGUAACAGAUUGUUCCAAAAAUUACUCAUUGGAACACAGAAAAACACAUUUAUUAAGAGAAAUAAACUCUAGAAAACUUGUUUGGAGGGUUUUAUAUGAGCUUAUCAGCGUCACUUGAGUCACAUUUUAGUCACAACAAAUGGAAAACAAAUGGAGCAAAUGGAGAGAUAAGCUGCUUUCAUAAGAAGUUAUUAUUAUUUCUACAUGUGCUAGUAUCCUUGGUAUGUCCUAUUGUACCAGUAUUUCUUUAAAAAAGCCAACACCUUUUCUUCAAUUUGAUCGUUUUUAUUUUGUUGUGGGGGCUGGACUUUUGCUUUUCUGAUGCUGAGUGACCUUCGGUUGAUUCCAAGAGCCAAAGCUUUCGCAGUCAUCAUUUUACCCUCAGGUUUACCUGCUGGAGUUUGAGCUCCAUCUAACAACCGUGGGACGCAGAUGUCCUGCAUGGAACCCACAUCAUCACUCUUCCACCACCGUGCUUGACAGUUGGUUGGAGGGAUGAGGAUUUAAGUGAAUAACGCUGAGAUGCUCCUGAAAAUACACCAAUUUGGAGUAUGAGGCAUUCUACACCCUGAAGGUAAUUUACCAGGGCUGCCCCCCAUCCCCCCACACUUAUCAGAACGUAUGAAUGUUGGUUGUUUUUACUGACCUGGAGCAGAUUUUCUGUGGUACACGGCGUUGAAAAAUCUGUUUUAAUAUGACUUUGGUAAAUUAUGAGGCCACGCCGCUUUAUGAGUCCUGUAGUCAGGAGCCCGGUGGAGUGGUACGCACUAUGGUUUAACAAAAUGAACAGAAAAAGUAAGAGUAUUGUUUUAAUGUGGAGAUUUAUGGUCAAUAAGGUUUGACUUAUUUGGCGUGUUGCUCUCCCAGCAAAGGCUGAUUGUGGCAAAUAAAACAUGAAGAAAAACACAGAUCACUAAAAUCAGCCCUUCUGACCAUUCACCUGCCUCUAAGCCCCUCAAAGCAUUCUGGGUAGUGAAGUUAUAUAACGUUUUGUUUUGCUUGAUGUGCCCUAUAGUUGUGCUGGAAAAACACCCUUUUUCAAUAAUUAAAGACAAUACUGGAAUCAAAUAAGCCAUUCAUCCAUUUUUUUUAACCCGCUGAAGACCUUUUGGGAUUUUGUUAGAGCCGAUCCCAUCCACAGUUUGGCAAAGCCGAGGGAACAUCCUGGACAAAUCAGCAGUCUCUCUUCACCAAUAAACCUCUUUUGGAUUGGAUUGUAGGAGGAAGUCUGGAGAAAACCCAUGCAUGCAGGAGGAGAAGAUGCCGGUGAAGGUCUCGGCUGGUAAUUUGAAGAAGGACUUUCUGGCUGUGUGUGCUAACCGCUACACCACCAUGCAGCCCAGAUCCAAUAUGAUCUGUUAUAUAAUGCCCAAGACUCUAACAUUCAACUUUACUGUCCAAAACAAAAGGCCUAACCCCUGAAAUUGUUCCAGGAAACUAAAAAAAAUAAAGUUUUGGGCUAAUUUUGUAGUUUAGUUUCGAGACUCAUUCCUUCAUAGUUAUCAAAUCGAAGGGCGAAGGCGGUGAGAACAGAUAAUACCAGACCUGAGACGAUAUGACAAUAAAUGAAGUGAAGCCAAAAACCAACAGUGGUUCAUGAUGGCGACUGCAGGGACUACUGAAGAAGAGACACCUUUCCUGUAGGUGUGAGAAAUAGAUGGGAAGCCUGAGGAUUAAACUUGGAACGCGUGGAAGCAGAAACAUGCAGCUGCAUUGUGUAGGUGUGCAUUUGCAUAGGUGAAUGAGUCCUGAGAUGAAUAGACUCGGCAGAGCACACACGGACAACUGCAUUUGCUGCACAAGAUUUUCUGCACCGAAAGGAUCAAUUGUUGGUGUGUUGUGCCGAGAUUUGCUUUGUUUGUUUGUUGUCUCACCUGUAUUUUUGUGAGGAAAUGCAUUCUUCUAGACUCUAAUGUCCUUUCAUUCAUUUACCUGCCAGCUUCUUUAUCGUUCCCAUCGCUCCACACAACGGAUGACAGAGUGUAUCUCAGCUCUGCCCACAUUCAGCCUACAGAUUUGAAGUGAUGAAGGAACCAGAACCAAAUCUUUCUCUUGUCCUGCUACACAUUUUUACGUAGAUUUCUCUGCUUUGGAAAAGAUGCUGCAAACAAUCUUUUGUGUUGAGAUUUAAGUGUAUGAAUUAUUUAACUGGAUGUCACAUGACCUGCUGUGAGUUCACUGCUAUUUGGUAAACAUGGGUCAUUUAGGUCAAACGCUCUUUUAAAAGCAUUUAAUUAUCUGCAGAGGUGGGCAUUCCUACAAAUGUCUCCAAAUAAAACGGUAUAGUUUUAAUUUAAGAAGUUAAAUUAAGGAGGGACACCAUAGUUCCCUGUGGAUGUUAACCAUUCAAAAUAGGAUUUAGCUCUGCAGUUGUAGUACUAUAGUAAAGUUUACACUCUAAUGGUAGAGUCAUUGACUGUGUAUGAAAACUGGACAGAGCAAAUGUGAUGUCACCCAUGGAAAAUAACUUACUUCCAGCUCCAAAUGGAGCCACUUUUUCAUGACAUGGAUAACGCCAUGUUGGAACAGAAGACGUCAAUAAGCAGUGAUUGGUUUGACGUUCUUGUGAAGCUAUGUUCACAUCGCCCUCGGCAACGUGCGCUCAAGCAUCCACUUCCAAUGAAAAGUCUAUGUAAACGGGUGUUUUGUGCUUCGGCAUUCAAAACUCUUGCAUUCAUCAAGUUUCUAUGACCGUUAUUGGGGUCAGUGUUCCAAAUGUACGACCAUUGAACACGUGUUAAAAGUCAAACUUUGGCCAAUUGGGGAUUUGGUAGAAGCGUAUGGGUGAUGUCUCCAUUAAUUCACAGAAGUGCCAACUGUUUGAAAAUUGAUCAUGGAGAAGAAAUGAAAA